rnacentral:lncRNA from 9 species
GGAAGUGGUAGAAUUUUUCUAGCCCUGAGAUGUUUCUGGAAAGAAAAAAAAAAUAGUGGACCUGUAUCUGGGUCCUGAUCUGUGCUUUUUCGGGUUUGGGGUCACAGGACUGAGUCUAAGACACUCAGCUCUGGAGUGUGCUGUGCAGGCGUUUCCAAGUGUGGCUGUCUUCUUGCACGCUGCUAGUGGAAAGUAAUGAGUUCCAUUUUCCUGUUUCGAGCGAGCAUUUCCCCCUUGGGGUUAUAGUAACCACUUCCUCCUCAGCACCCAGUGGAACGUAGUAAACACCAGUUACAGCAGAGUAUUCCCUUCCGAGAGCCUCCCUGGCUUCCCUUCUCCCCUCUUGUCUUUAAAUACACACCCCAGGCCCUGAUGGAUAGGCCUCCUUUCCCUCUGGUGUAGGGUGUGCGGAGUGCCUGCGGUGGCCUCGGAAACACAAAACCCACACAGGUCACAGGCAGGUCUCCCGAGGUGCUUUGUCAUCCUGCUUCAUUUCGGAGGGAACUGGGUUGGCAUCGGUUUAGGGACAUGGCACCCUUAAUUUUCGGGGGUGAGGCAAGCACGCUGUCGUCACAGACUCGGUGGACUGGUCCUUAUGAGGGAUGGGCCCUGCACUGGGGCGGGGGGCUGGCUGCGGGUUAAGAACCUGACACAGUGCGAGGAUGUGGGUUCGAUCCCUGGCCUCGCUCAGUGGGUUAAGGAUCUGGCAUUGCCACAAGCUUGGGCAUAAAUGGCAGGUGCGGCUCAGAUCCCAUGUUGCUGUGGCUGUGGUGUAGGCGGGCAGCUGCAGCUCCGAUUCAGCCCCUGGCCUGGGAACCUCAGGUAUGUCACAGGUGUGGCCCUAAAAGGAAAAAUAAAUAAAUAAAUAAAUAAUGAAGAGAGAGAGAGAGAGAGUGUGUGUGUGUGUGUGUGUGUGUGUGUGUGUGUGUAAGACUGGGUUAUUUGCUCUACAGCAGAAAUUGACAGAACAUUGUAAAUCAACUACAAUAAAAAUAAUUGUUUUUUAAAUGCGAGGGAUGUAAGGAAAGGGUCAGUCAAGGAUGAGUAAAAUGUUGAAAGAGAGACUGUUAAUUUUAGACAUCUUAAAAAAUACGUUCGGAGUUCCCGUCGUGGCUCAGCGGAAACGAAAUCUGACAAGUAUCCAUGAGGACACAGGUUCGAUCCCUGCCCUCUAUCAGUGGGUUAAAGAUUUGGCUUUGCUGAGAGCUAUGGUGGAGGUCGCAGAUGCUGCUCCCAUCUGGCGUUGCCGUGGCUGUGGCGUAGGCUGACAGCUGCAGCUGCGAUUUGACCCCUGUCCUGGGAACUUCCAUGUGCCGCAGGCCCUAAAAAAAAAAGUUCAUACUUAAAAUAUUUGUCAUUGGUGGUUUGGGCUUCCAAGAACUUCUGAAUCCACCCAGUUUUUCUUAGAGCCUUCAAGCCCAUGGAAAUCCAUCACUAGAAAACGCUUGUGAUGCAGAGCUGAUCACCCCUGAUGCUGGAGGGUGGCGGCCGAGAUGGAGCGGGAAGUGGAGGCGUUGAGGCAUGCAGGGACUCUGAAACCUCCGACUCAGGUCCUCCAGUUAUGCAGUGACUGAGCCAAAGAAGCAGAAAAAAAGUCAAGCCGCUCUUUGUGUGUUUGUGCUUAAUCGUUAGGCAUUCUUAACUAGAACAAUCCAGGAGUGGGCCUCCGAGCCUAUCAGGGAGAGCUAUCUGGGCAGAAUAAGCAGGAGCUUCCUGCAGCUCCGGCAGGUUUGCAGGAAAAUCCAGUUAUAGAAACUUAGAUGGCAGACAGGCUGGUCACAUUUCCCACUCUGUGCAGAUAGAUAAUAAAGCUGAAAGGCCAAGAGAUAGAAAUGUGUGAUAUCGCGCUGAGGUAGGUGAUAGGCAUUGUGUAUCAGUGCUAGCGAUGCUGUGCGCUGUACUCUGCAGGUUCUAGAAGACCUAUCAAAAAUGUCCCUACCUCUAGAGAAUUUAAGAGGAUCCCCUGAGAGGCAAGACUUGAGACUCAGGCUACAGGUUGGGAGUUGGCUGAACUGUUGUUUUUAGACCCACUGAGAUCUCUGUGUUGGCCUUCCUUGAAUUAUUCCCACUCCUGAGCGAGAUGAAAUCUGUUUCCACAAUUUCUCUAAUGCCUCCCUUUUUAAAAAUGGGAAUAUCAGAGUUCCCUUCGUGGCUCAGUGGUUAACGAAUCUGACUAGGAACCAUGAGGUUUUGGGUUCGAUCCCUGGCCUUGCUCAGUGGGUUAGGGAUCUGGCGUUGCCCUGAGCUAUGGUGUAGGUUGCAGAUGCAGCUCGGAUCCCCGAGUUGCUGUGGCUGAGGUGUAGGCCGGUGGCUACAGCUCCAAUUGGACCCCUAGCCUGGGAACCUCCAUAUGCCUCAGGAGCGGCCCAAAAAAUGGCAAAAAGACCCCCCCAAAAAAAAAGGAAGAUCUAGGAGUUCCUCUUGUGGCUCCACGGAAACGAACUGACUAGUAUCCAUGGGGAUGCAGGUUCGAUCCCUGGCUUCAAUCAGUGGUUAAGGAUCCAGUGUUACUGUGGCUGUGGUAUAGGCUGGCAGCUAUAGCUCCAAUUCGACUCCUAGCCUGGAACCUUCAUAUGCUGUGGGUGCAGCCUGCCAAAAAAGGCAAUAAAAUAAAAUAAAAAUGGGAAUGAAAUGUCCUUGUCAUACACUUGGUACAGUUGAAAGCGUGUUCCCUACUUUUCAGAAGCAGGAUUCUGGUUAGGAAGGGCUGGUGUUCUGAGUGUGGUGGGUGUUUUUAAUCACUGGAUUGGGGUACAGGAUCCAAAUGCGGGCUCUGUUUCUGGAACCUUCUUCCUGUCUGCCCACAUUCACGAUGCCUUUCCUAGGAGCCGCAGUCUGGAGUGAGGGGAUUGUACCCCUAAUCAAACCUGGACUUGCUCCCAGGCCCCCUCUCCAGCACAGGCACGUGAGGGCAGCACCCCUCCCAGCCCAUAGAUGGGCUCUGGUCUCCGGCCCAGGACUCCUUCCCACUUCCUGGUUGUCAGAUCCCAGGGGCCUUCAGAAGCCCUUUCUUUGAACAGGAUCUGGCCUCCAGGUUGCAGUGGGCAUGUGAACCAGCUGUGCUCUCACACCCAGAGAUAGUCACGGUGCAAAGUGACCCCAAAGUCAUGUUGUUGGGAGCUUUUAAAAUCCAUCUUCCUCUCUUCCCUGGAGGGUUUUAGCAGCCUCAAAAAACGAAUCUCUCUUUUCUCACUGCUUUCUAUUUCCUGGGUCUGCUCUUCAAACAGGGCGAGCAAGACUAAUGACCACCCUCUUCCCUCGGAACCCUAGAAUCCUUCCACCUUAUUCCCAUCAAAUCCAGCAUUCUGGGAGUUCCUGUCGUAGCCCAGUGGUCACAAAUCCGACCAAGGUCCAUGAGGAUGUGGGGUUGAUCCCUGGGCCUGCUCAGUGGGUUAAGGAUCCUGCAUUGCUGUGAGCUGUGGUCGGCAGCUGUAGCGCUGAUUUGACCCCUAGCCUGGAAAGCCCCCUGUGCCUCGACUGCAGCCCUGAAAAGAAGAGAAAAAAAAAUUCAAGAUCCUUAGUAUGGCCCCUGGUUUCAUUCCACACCCCCCUUGGCUCACUCUAUCCGACACUUUGCUGCUCAUGCUGGCCUUUGAACCUGCCCAGCUAGCCUCCGUCCUUGGCUGCCCCCUGGGCCAGAACCUGAACGGUGUGUGGCUCAGCCUCUUGCAUCCUGCAGGAAGGCCUCCCCAAGCACCCAGAACAGACAGGGCACCCCUCCCCCGCCCUCCGACCCACACCCUUUCCUCCACCUUGUUUUAGCUUUUUUCAGUGUACUUGCUGUCAUCCCCCACACUGUGCAUUUAUUUGUAUGCUGUACUAUAUAUAUAUAUGCAUAUAUAUAGUACACGUAUACACACACACGCGCACACACGCACACACACAUAUAUAUCCCUUUUUCCACUUGAAAGGGAGGGACUUUUGCUGUCUCCACUGCUGCAUCCCCCUGUACCUUUUUCCACUUGAAAGGGGGGACCUCUGCUCUAGUCACUGCUGCGUCCUCCCUUGCCUUUUUCCACUUGAAAGGUGGGGACUUUUGCAGUGUUCAUUGCUGCUUCCCCCAUGCCUGGGACACUGCAUGUAAGCAGGUUCUCUAUAAAUACUUGUCCAACAGCCAGGGAAGAAAUGCAUCGACCAGCAGCAGCGUUUAUGGAGCUCUUGAUCGGGCGUCCUGUUUGGAGCAGAAGGGUACAAAGAUGACUCUCACAGCCCUGCUGGCUCAGUCCUGAUCUCUUCUGGGGGGGGGUCACCCACAAUUCUGUUCACCACUCCAGUCUGUGUGCUUUUUGAAUAUUGGGAUGGCUGCUCCCCCUAUGAUUCUAGCUCUUAACUUCCACUAAUGUUCAUGGUCCCACAGCGUCCUAUUGGGGGAACAGCGUUCAGUCUUGACCUUGAGGAGCCUACCCAGAGGGGAAGGAAGGCUGUUUCUCCCUUAGAGGAAGAGGGCAGGUUUGGAGGGGGCUGUGUUCUCAGAUCAAAUGCAGGGAGAAACAGUUUAUUCAUGUUGCCUGGUUUUGUUUUGUUUUGUUUUGUGAUCUGUACUUUUUUUUUUUUUGGUCAAAUAAAAUUAACCAUGUUAUGGACAUUUUGAAAAUAAAACAAGGAGUUCCCAUCCCAGCUCAGCAGUAAUGAAUCCAGCUACAGUCUAUGAGGAUGCGGGUUCAAUCCCUGGCCUCGCUCAGUGGGUUAAGGAUCCGGGGUUGUGGUGCGCUGUGGCACAGGUCACAGAUGCAGCUGGGAUGCCACAUUGCUGUGGCUGUGGUGUAGGCCAGCAGCUGCAGUUCCAAUUCAACCCCUAGUCUGGGAACUUCCAUAUGCCACAGGUGCAGCCUUAAAAAGCCAAAAAAAGAAAAAAAAAAGGAAAAAGAUUUGGGGAUGCUUACAAACUUCUAUGUGUAAAACAACAGAAUAUAAUAAAUAGCUGAGAAAUCAGAGCAAUAGGUUCAUGGAAGUCAGUAUAAACUUAAUCUGCAGGAAUGCAUAUUAAUGCAACUAUUCAUAUAAAUUGAUGUAUUUCCUCCUGACUUUUUAAAUAUGCACAUGUUUAGAGACCAUUCUGCUUCCUCUACUUAACAUUAUAGCAAAUUUCCUUCUGACUUUUAUUGUUCAGGGCUGAGUGAUCAAUCCCAAGGAUGUACUCCUCAUUUAUUCAGUCUUGCCUCUAUUGUUGGAUCUUGGGUCAUUUUCAAUGCUAUUGUUAAAUAAACAAUGGCCUAAUUAACAUCUUUGGGCUUGCAAUUUUUUCCAUAUUUUAGAGUAUUUCCUUAAGUAGAUUUCCAGAGGUGAAAUAACUGAUGAAAGUUUCAGACAUCUUUAUGGCCUUUAGAACAUAUUCCUGGAGUUCCUGUUGUGGCUCAGCAGAUUAAGACUAGUAUCCAUGAGAAGGCAGGUUCGAUCCCCGACCUCACUCAGGCAUUGAGGACCUGGCGUUGCUGUGAGCUAUGGUACAGGUUGAAGAUGCAGCUUGGAUCCCACACUGCUGUGGCUGUGGUAUAGGCCCGCAGCUGCAGCUCCCAUUCAGCUCUUAGUCUGGGAACUUUCUUUUUCUUUUUUUUAAUUACUCAAUGAAUGUAUUCCAUUUACAGUUGUACAACGAUCAUUACAUCCCAAUUUUAUAGCAUUUCCAUCCCACACCCCCAGCGCAUCCCCCCACCCCCAAACCUCUCUCCUUUGGAAACCAAAAGUUUUUCAAAGUCUGUGAGUCAGUAUCUGUUCUGCAAGGAAGUUCAUUGUGUCCUUUUUUCAGAUUCCACAUGUCAGUGAAAGCCUUUCAUGUUGGUGUCUCAUUGUUUGACUCACCUCACUUAGCAUGAUAAUUUCUAGGUCCACCAACGUUGCUAAAAAUGCCAGUAUUUCGUUCCUUUUAAUGGCUGAGUAAUAUUCCAUUGUGUAUAUGUACCACCUCUUCUUGAUCCACUCCUCUGUUGAUGGACAUUUAGAUUGUUUCCAUGUCUUGGCUAUUGCAAAUAGUGCUGCAAUGAACAUCGGAGUACAUGCAUCUUUUCGAGCCAUGGUUUUCUCUGGAUAGAUGCCCAGGAGUGGGAUUGCUGGAUCAAAUGGUAGUUCUAUGUUUAGUUUUCUGAGCAAUCUCCACACUGUUUUCCACAGUGGUUGCACCAAUUUACAAUCCCACCAACAGUGUAGUAGGGUUCCUUUUUCUCCACACCCUCUCUAGCACUUACUGUUUGUAGACUUUUUUUUUUUCCUUGUUUUUGUCCUUUUAGGGCUGCACCAGCAGCAUAUGGAGGUUCCCAGGCUAGGGAUCUAAUCGGAGCUGUUGCUACUGGCCUAUGCCAGAGCCACAGCAACGCCAGAUCCGAGCCGAGUCUGUGACCUAUACCACAGCUCACAGCAACACCAGAUCCUUAACCCACUAAGCGAGGCCAGGGUAGGAACCUGCAACCUCAUGGUUCCUAGUCGGAUUCGUUUCCGCUGCACCACGACGGGAACUCCUGUUUAUAGACUUUUUGAUGAUGGCCAUUCUGGCUGGUAUAAGGUGGUACCUCAUAGUGGUUUUGGUGUGCAUUUCUCUAAUAAUGAGUGAUGUUGAACAUCUUUUCAUGUGUUUUUUGGCUAUCCAUAUGUCCUCUUUGGAGAAUCAUCUAUUUAGAUCUUCCGCCCAUUUUUUGAUGGCAUUAUUUGAUUUUUGGUAUUGAGCUGUAGGAGGUGUUUAUAAAUUUUGGAGAUUAAUCCCUUGUCAAUCGAUUCAUUUGCAAAUAUUUUCUCCCUUACUGUGGGUUGUCUUUUCGUUUCGUUUAGGGUUUCCAUUGCUGUGCAUCUGGGAACUUUCAUGUGCUGUGGGCACAGUCCUUAAAAAAAAAAAA